UGGGCUGAGACCUGGUGGUAUUGUUAAGUAAGGAGAAUGAAUCUCCGGGUUCAGUGAAAGGUCAGAAGACCUAAUACUUUCUGUAUUCAACCUGGGAGCAUUAAAUCCUGCUCUGGCUGCCAUUCUUUCUACGAGACCUCCUCGUGAGCUGGAUUUCUGCUCAGAAAAUGGAGCUAGUUCUGUAAACUGAGCACCACCAGUUUGUG
rnacentral:misc_RNA from 1 species